CCCUUAGAUGUCCGGGGCCGCACGCGCGCUACACUGAAGGAAUCAGCGUGUUUACGCUCCUGCGCCGAAAGGCGUGGGUAAUCCGCUGAAACUCCUUCGUGAUAGGGAUUGAGCUUUGUAAUUUUCGCUCAUGAACGAGGAAUUCCCAGUAAGCGCGAGUCAUCAGCUCGCGUUGAUUACGUCCCUGCCCUUUGUACACACCGCCCGUCGCUCCUACCGAUUGAAUGGUCCGGUGAAGCGUUCGGACCGUGGCCUUUGGACGGUUCGCCGUCUGUUGGCUGCGGGAAGUUCGUUAAACCUUAUCAUUUAGAGGAAGGAGAAGUCGUAACA
rnacentral:rRNA from 1 species